rnacentral:precursor_RNA from 7 species
UGGUGCUGCCCUCACCUGCUCUGGCUGCUUGGGUUCCUGGCAUGCUGAUUUGUGACUUGAGAUUAAAAUCACAUUGCCAGGGAUUACCACGCAACCAUGACCUUGGCUGCUCCUGCAGAA